UGGGGAAUAUUGGGCAAUGGGCGCAAGCCUGACCCAGCAACGCCGCGUGAAGGAAGAAGGCUUUCGGGUUGUAAACUUCUUUUGUCAGGGAACAGUAGAAGAGGGUACCUGACGAAUAAGCUCCGGCUAACUACGUGCCAGCAGCCGCGGUAAUACGUAGGGAGCGAGCGUUGUCCGGAUUUACUGGGUGUAAAGGGCGUGUAGGCGGGAUUACAAGUCAGAUGUGAAAUUCCGGGGCUCAACCCCGGAACUGCAUUUGAAACUGUAGUUCUUGAGUACUGGAGAGGCAGGCGGAAUUCCUAGUGUAGCGGUGAAAUGCGUAGAUAUUAGGAGGAACACCAGUGGCGAAGGCGGCCUGCUGGACAGCAACUGACGCUGAGGCGCGAAAGCGUGGGGAGCAAACA
rnacentral:rRNA from 1 species